AAAUUGAAGAGUUUGAUCAUGGCUCAGAUUGAACGCUGGCGGCAGGCCUAACACAUGCAAGUCGGACGGUAGCACAGAGAGCUUGCUCUUGGGUGACGAGUGGCGGACGGGUGAGUAAUGUCUGGGGAUCUGCCCGAUAGAGGGGGAUAACCACUGGAAACGGUGG
rnacentral:rRNA from 1 species